rnacentral:rRNA from 1 species
AGAGCGAACGCUGGCGGCAGGCCUAACACAUGCAAGUCGAGCGCCCGUAGCAAUACGGGAGCGGCAGACGGGAUAGUAACACGUGGGAACGCGCCCUUCGGUUCGGAAUAACUCAGGGAAACUUGAGCUAAUACCGAAUACGCCCUUACGGGGAAAGAUUUAUUGCCGAAGGAACGGCCCGCGUCCGAUUAGCUAGUUGGUGAGGUAAUGGCUCACCAAGGCUACGAUCGGUAGCUGGUCUGAGAGGAUGACCAGCAUCACUGGGACUGAGACACGGCCCAGACUCCUACGGGAGGCAGCAGUGGGGAAUAUGGACAAUGGGCGCAAGCCUGAUCCAGCCAUGCCGCGUGGAUGAUGAAGGCCUUAGGGUUGUAAAGUCCUUUUAACGGGGAAGAUAAUGACGGUACCCGUAGAAUAAGCCCGGCUAACUUCGCGCCAGCAGCCGC